UUUGUCCCCUUUCUUUUUACCCUUCAUGCUAACAUAAUAAAUACAUAUUUGAACUGAAUUGGUUGUAUUACAUAUGCCACGAAGGAUGUCGCCGCUUGAAGCUCGAUUUCCAUCAGCCCCUCUUUUAAUUCACUUGCAUUGUUUCAGCUUUGCAUUGUACUUCUUUGACGAAUUACCUCAUCCAACCGGCUUUAAUUCGGAGCGUCAGUCUUACUAAUUAUCAUUGCCUUAACUUUCCAUAUGAACCUCUUACAGGAAACAAGGACUCCUAUUUGUCUGUAGUACUGCCCAUGAGACUCAACCUUGUUUUACCUUAAUUAUCAUGGUGUGCCUUUUUUUUAUAAUAGCUCACCAUUUUGUUAGUGGCAAUAAAAUGCAUCUUUAGGCACACCUAUAGCGCACAUGUGAUGAUGUACAGAUGAAAGAAAGAUCUUAGAAGUUGAGAAGCCGAGAGCUGGAGGAACAAGGAGAAGCUAAAAGGACAGAAGAAGUCAGAGCAUGUGGAGCUGUUGGGCAAGCAGAGUUCUAUCUGGGUAUUUAGGUAGCUGAGGAUAAAAGGGAAAAGGAAAAUGUUGACGAUAUAGUUACUCAAUGCUGAGAAUGUUGCAUGCAUACUUUGUUGCCUAUAUAUCAUUGGCUUUGUAUUGAUCCAGGCAAGAACAAAUCAGACGGAACAAGUUUGCUACAGGUGGGUGUGCAUCAAGCUGCUUCGUUGCCGGCGGCGAGUAAUCUCACACAUGUUUAUGGCGCAUAUGUACCAGAAAAUUCAAAUGGUUCUGAUCAUACGUGCGAGGGGAAUCAGGUAGGGCUUGAUGCGCCUUUCAUACGAAAUGUUGAUGAGAAUUACCCAAGUAGUCCAGGUAUGAGGCUGUGCGGAUAUAGUAAUCAUAAUUUCCAGUGGCAUCGGCAUGUUCUAAUAAAUAAGAUGGGAAGUUCAGAAUAAUGUAACAUCGGCAUGUUCUAAUGAA